GAUUUCUUUCUGGUCAAGGGGAAAAACACCAGAGAGGCAUAAAUAUACCAUUUUAAAAAGGAAGAAACCUCUGUCUGAGAGGCACCUGAAAACCUUUCCCAAGCAGGCUGAAUUCUCUCAGGGUAUUGUUUCACCAGAAUAUACUUUCUACAUUCACAGACUGGAGGGAAAGUUUCCAACAGAUCUUUUUUGCUGAUAGUUUUGAUUAUUCUCCAGUAAAAAAAUUUCAAAGGCUUUUUGCCAGAUGGAAGAAAUGUGGGGAGGCAGAGGGAAGUGGCAUGAUAGUAGCCCCUUCUGAACAAAUAACAGAGCCCAAAGUAGUGACAGCCAGUAUUUCAGUCCUAAAUGCUUUGCAAAUUAUAGUCCUUGGACCACUAGAUAACAGCAAUAACCUGACAGAAUCUACUGUUAUCCUUUAAGAUAUUAACAUAAACUGUACUGGAAGUAUUCCCCACUCAGAUUCUCUUCAUUUUGCUAAAAAUAUUUUUUUCUCAUGUUUGACAGCACCACUGUCUUUGGGUCUCUGACUCUGCUGAAGUCAUUUGAAGAAACAGAUCUAGAGAAACAUUGCUUGGCAGAGGAUAAGAGAGAAAGGUUAGGACCGAAAGCAUUAAGUUGCCUAUCCAAGAAAGGGAAUCAGUUUGAAUGGCAAGAGGGCCGCAGAAAGAUAAAAACAUUAAAGAGAGUAUAAUCAAGAUAUCCUUCUGCAUCUCUGUUGAAAUCACAUCACCUACUUAUGUGUCUGAAGUCUGUUCAAAUAUAUUAUCUUACUUUGAUAAAGGCAGCUUGGAACCCAAUAAAGUAGACUGAAUUAGUAUUAUCAUCCCAUUUUACAGAUGAGAAAACUGACUUGUUUGGAAUAUAAUACUUAUUUUGAUGGAUUAAUCUCUGUAAUGAACUGGAUUCUAUAUUGGAUUUCAUUUUCUCUCUCUGUUUACACAUGGGCAUACAACCUAGAGUUGAUUUUAAAGUUACUGAAUGAAACCUGGGUGCAGAGCAGUCUCAUUCAGGCAGGCCUACACAUGUCAGGGAGAUAAGCCUGUCCAGGCUGACCUUGUACUUUGCUUAUUGAUUCUAGGCCACAGUAGGACAGUAGGCCAAUAAACAGGAAAUAAAAAUUCUUCAGGCGAAUAAAUUAGAACUUUUAUAUACUCAUCUUGUGUGGACAGAAUUCCUCAUUUGAUGUUAGAAAGGACCAGAGAGCAGUUUGGUCAGUUAAUAUGUAGGCAAAAAAAGCAGCAGCCAUAUUCCUGAAAUAAAUAUGUUGGAGGUGAAGUUAAAUAUAUAUAUUGGAAAAAAUAAAUAAAUAAAUAUAUUGGAAACAUUCAAGCUGAGGGCUCAACAAGAAACUCACUCACACUUUACCUUUGAUUUAUGAGGAAGGCCUAAACAUAGAAAUAAUUAACUUGUAAAUUAAUUAAAUGAUUAUUUGAUACUAUUUACUGAAAUAUCAAUAGCCUCAGAUAUGCAGAUGACACCACCCUUAUGGCAGAA
rnacentral:lncRNA from 1 species